ACCUGGGAAUUGCAUUGGUGACUGCACGGCUAGAGUGUGUCAGAGGGGGGUAGAAUUCCACGUGUAGCAGUGAAAUGCGUAGAGAUGUGGAGGAAUACCGAUGGCGAAGGCAGCCCCCUGGGAUAACACUGACGCUCAUGCACGAAAGCGUGGGGAGCAAACAGGAUUAGAUACCCUGGUAGUCCACGCCCUAAACGAUGUCAACUAGUUGUUGGGGAUUCAUUUCCUUAGUAACGUAGCUAACGCGUGAAGUUGACCGCCUGGGGAGUACGGUCGCAAGAUUAAAACUCAAAGGAAUUGACGGGGACCCGCACAAGCGGUGGAUGAUGUGGAUUAAUUCGAUGCAACGCGAAAAACCUUACCUACCCUUGACAUGCCACUAACGAAGCAGAGAUGCAUUAGGUGCUCGAAAGA
rnacentral:rRNA from 1 species